rnacentral:ncRNA from 1 species
CCUCUCAGUUUUAAUUAAACUUACACAUGCAAGUCUCCUCGCUCCAGUGAAACGCCCUUUACCUCCCACUUAGAGGCAAAGGAGUUGGUAUCAGGCUCAAAUUGCCCCAAGACACCUAGCUUUGCCACACCUCCAAAGGAAUUCAGCAGUGGAUUAAUUUUAAACAUUAGCGCAAGCUAAACUUAGUUAUAAUUUAAAUAGUCGGUCAAUUUCGUGCCAGCCACCGCGGUUAUACGGAAGACUAAAACUGAAAGACAACGGCGUAAAGCGUGAUUAGGGAAAUUCACUUCUAAAGCCAAACUCUAAUCUUAUUGUUAUAAAUUAAUAUUAGCAGGAAACCCAAUAACGAAAGUAACUUUACCCACUCCUGAACUCACGGUAGCCAAGACCCAAACUGGGAUUAGAUACCCCACUAUGCUUGGCCUCAAACUUUGACUAAUUACAGUUAUCUCCGCCAGGGAACUACGAGCACAGCUUAAAACCCAAAGGACUUGGCGGUGUCCUAUACCACCUAGAGGAGCCUGUUCUUUAAUCGAUAAUCCACGAUCCACCUCACCAUUUCUUGCCUAAACAGCUUAUAUACCGCCGUCGUCAAUUUUCCCUUUGAAGGACUAAAAGAAAGUUUAAAGGCCCCCACCAAAACGUCAGGUCAAGGUGUAGCGAAUGAAAUGGGAAGAAAUGGGCUACAUUUUCUAAGAUAGACUAGACGGAUAAUCAAUAUGAAAUCUGAUCAUGAAGGAGGAUUUAGCAGUAAAAAGAAAUCAGCAAGUUCUUUUUAACACGGCCCUAGGACGCGCACACACCGCCCGUCACCCUCUUCGACUCUUUAAAUUAUUUAAUUAAUCAACCAUCCUGAAUUCUAGAAGAGGCAAGUCGUAACAUGGUAAGUAUACCGGAAGGUGUACUUGGA